GGCCUGUGAUGAUAAUUGCACUAAUUGUGAAGUUGGGUCUUCACAACCAUCUGUUCAAUGAUGAAACUCAGUGCAACUGAGUCU